AGAUAAGGGAACAAUCUAAUAUUCAUAUUUUUAAUUUCAAUCAGAGGUUCUGCCUAAUUGGGAGGUUUUCAAAUGGUCAUUUGAUUCAUGACUGUUAUGGAGAUUUCUGUGCCAGAAAUAUGAAUCUCUGAUUCCACCAGAGAUCGCCUAGCCCUUUCUUUAAGGUGUUACAGAAGUGCUACUUACUGGCCUCAUCAGCCUAGUCUUUGUCUAUCAUCUGAGGCAGCAGAAGCAGGACCAAUGAUAUUAACUCCAAUAAUAGCAAGAGUAGAGUGGCAAACAAGGAAAUAUAAUGCUAAUUUCUCCUUUGUUUUUUGUUUCUUGCUUUUUGUUUUGUCUUUUUCUAGGGCUGCACUUGCAGCAUAUGGAGGUUCCCAGUCGGAUUCGCUAACCACUGAGCCAUGAUGGGAACUCCAGCUAAUUUCUCUUUAAAAAUGGAUUCAUGGCAUCUUUCAUAGUUCAUGGAGUUAUUCAUUUUCUCCUUAACAUUUUAUUCACUGAGAAAAAGGACAGAAAUAUCAAAUGGAGCAAAUGAGAGAGUUCUUUAGUCCUAGAAACAUUUGGUGAGAUGCAGCUUAGUUUGGAGUUGGGAAAAACCUUAAAGAUUGAAUGCUAGUAGCCUCUAUGACAAAAUAGAUUCAGAAAGGCUCAGUGAUUUGUUAAAAGUUUACUUUUCUUAAUUUUUUAAAAGGACUAAAUAUUUUUCAAAUUUUUCUCUGAAAACCUUUACAUGGGAAAAAAUAUAGAUCUUUUUAUUAAAGAUCUAUAUUUGUAUAGGUUGUAUUUAAAAUAAAAUGCAUUAUUUUAAAAGUUGUCAUUUUCUAAUUUCUUCAACACAGUCCACAGUCUAGUGGAAGUCAAUAAACAAAGGAAAAUAAACUGUCAUUCUGUUUAAUAAAAAAAAAAAACAGAGAAGAGAAAGCUGUUUAUCAAUAAAUGUAUUAUAUUGCUUUAUACAGCAUGUUCCUGAUAUUAAGAAAUUUAAGGAAAGGAAAAUAAUGGCAAAUAAUUUCUCAAACUUCAGAGAAAUUUUUUUCUUUUAGAAUUUUCUGAAGAGAGUAAAGACAAGACCUAUGAGUUGAUAUGCUCAGAAAAUUCUUUUUAAAAGACAAAUGGAUUUGUUUCACUGUUCUACAAGGCAAAAAGAAAUCAGACUUUAUGAAAUACACUGGAAAAAAAUCCCAUCCUUCCCACACCCAUCCUCAUCAGUACAGUAAAACAAGGAAAGCCAAGGUAUCACUCAUUAUGAUCCAAACUGCAUGCUUUGGUUUCCACUAGGCACUACACUAAGUUUCCUAAUGAAAUGUUUUAAUUUUUCCCAGUUAGAAUGGCCUCCAGCUCAAACUUUCUGUUUGGCAAUGGUUAUUUUGCCAUCUCUUCUCUUUUCUUUGCCCUUAAGAAUAUCCACUGCCCACAUCUUUACUGAUAAAGUAUUUCAAAUGCAAGGAUAA
ensembl:lncRNA